AGCAGCCGCGGUAAUUCCAGCUCCAAUAGCGUAUAUUAAAGUUGUUGCAGUUAAAAAGCUCGUAGUUGAAUUUCGGGGUUAGCAGGUCGGUCGUGCCAAUGGUAUGCACUGGCCUUGCUGAUUCCUCCCUCUUGAUGAACCGUAAUGCCAUUAAUUUGGUGUUGCGGGGAAUCAGGACUGUUACUUUGAAAAAAUUAGAGUGUUUAAAGCAGGCAAGCGCUUGAAUACAUUAGCAUGGAAUAAUGAAAUAGGACGUUUGAUCCUAUUUUGUUGGUUUCUAGGAUUGACGUAAUGAUUAAUAGGGAUAGUUGGGGGCAUUAGUAUUCAAUUGUCAGAGGUGAAAUUCUUGGAUUUAUUGAAGACUAACUACUGCGAAAGCAUUUGCCAAGGAUGUUUUCAUUAAUCAAGAACGAAAGUUAGGGGAUCGAAGACGAUCGGAUACCGUCGUAGUCUUAACCAUAAACUAUGCCGACUAGGGAUCGGAUGAUGUUAAUUUUUAAUGA
rnacentral:rRNA from 1 species